CCUGCUGCCCCGUCCCCACCAGGCCGGCGCUGCGGUGGGUGGCGAGCGGGUGUGCUGGAGGCAGGACGGGUCCCGGCCGUCUCAGGAGGUGACUCAGCAGGAGGUUCUGAGGUCGGGGGUGACCUGGAGAACCUUGGAAACCAGAGGCUCUUGGGACGCUGUUUGACUGCUCUCGAGUUUCCUGCAUGAUGGGAAACCCCAGGGAAGGGAGCAGGGGAGGAGUCAACUGGGAGCGGGGCCAGAGAAGCAGUGAGAGAAGUCUGGACCAGCAGGCGGAGAGUGGUGCCACGUGCCCCCGCAGGUGCGGAGGAGAGCGCGGCCUGGAAAGGCCUUGGGUUUGGCAGGAAGGAGACUGAGGAUUGCCAAGAGGACGGCGGGGAGAGGUCACGGCGUGAGUUGUGGUCUUCAGUAAUUUGAACCGGAAGGCAGAAGACAGAGAACUUGGGAAGGAGCAGUCUUGGUUACCCUGCUUAGGCGGAGAGGGUAUUGGGUGCCUAAAAACCUCAGGUCAAGGCAGGCGUGAAACCAAAGGCCCUCACUCCAUCUCUCUCUGAGUGACCACAGGAGUCUCCUGACUGUCUUCCUGCCGUCUCGGGACAGCCACUGUCCACUCAGCUACCAGAGCCAUUUUGGAAAGCAUGGAUCCUGCAGUGUUCCUUCACUGGUCAAGACCUUCCAACACCAUGGGCGUCCUUACUGGUCCUCCAAGUUCAACCUCAGCAUUCCUGGAUUAGAAUCCCUGGGACACUGGAUAAAAACAGAUUCCUGGGCCCCAAGUCAACCUACAGGAUCAGCACCUCUGGGGAGAUGGGAAGCGGCAUUUUCACACAGCCCCUCCCAGGGCUUUGCAUGGCUUGUCCCUCCAGAUCUCACAGCCCGUGCUACUUCGCCCCCUCAAGGCCUCCGCUCCCCGCCCCCUCCUCAGAUCACCGGAU
rnacentral:lncRNA from 1 species